UCUGGUGAUCAUGCCGGAGGGGUUCCACCCGUUCCCAUCUCGAACACGGAAGUUAAGACCUCCAGGGCCAAUGAUACUUGGGGCGCAAGCCCCUGGGAAAGCAGGUCAUCGCCAGGU
rnacentral:rRNA from 1 species